rnacentral:rRNA from 1 species
UACAGAGGUCCCAAGCGUUAUCCGGAUUUAUUGGGUUUAAAGGGUGCGUAGGCGGCUUAUUAAGUCAGUGGUGAAAGCCCCAAGCUUAACUUGGGAACUGCCAUUGAUACUGAUGAGCUUGAGUAGAUUUGAGGCGGGCGGAAUGUGUCGUGUAGCGGUGAAAUGCUUAGAUAUGACACAGAACACCAAUUGCGUAGGCAGCUCGCUAAACUCUUACUGACGCUGAGGCACGAAAGCAUGGGGAUCAAACAGG